UGUUUACAUAUCCGUGUGGAGGUAUAUCAGGGCUCGUGCUGAUGCGAUGCAAGGAUGCCUGAAAGCUUUCAGUCCCUGCGCACUGGACGCAAGGGAAAUGAAAGUGCCGCGACGGAGAGCCCUGCCACGCGUCGGGGACGACAACACUGCAACUGAGCUCGGGGAUGGAGGGAGAGAGAGAGAGAGAGAGACAGGCUCCUGCGUGCUCCUGCUCAAAUGACCCGCUGGUCCUGCAAGACAAAAAAAGAGACAGACAGACAGAGUGAGAGAGAAAGAGGACCGGUCAUUUGACUGGGACGUGUCGCUGUGGCAGACCUGGGCCGAGGCUGAGAGAGAGCUGAUUGGAGGACGGCCAGCGGAACUUGGACGGCCCUGAGGAUGUUUAGCCCUCCCGCUGUGCAGCGGAGCAGGAGGCCAGUGUCCAGCCUUCCCCAGGGAAACAGCAGAAUGGUGCCACUGAGAGAUGAAUCCAGCCAACCCUGUGGCACAGAUGAGAGGAGCACCUCAUGCUGAGGUACACAGUACCAGAGGGCCCCCAGGAUGGAUGCCGUGUGAGGAUGUGGUCGCGGGAUGAUAGCUGAUGAAAGGCUGAGGGAUGGCGAUGGACUCCUGCACCCGGGCCUUGAAAGGACUCAUUUUGGGGGAGACGAGAGGUCAGAUCUUUGGGAGAGAAAGGAGAAGGGAGAGAAGAAAGCACAGAGGCGAAGCAAGAAAACAGACUUAAAAAGCUUUAGACUCUAUUCAAAGCAGGGAUACUCGGAGAGCGCAGGGGCUGUUGGCCGAGGCGGGCGGAUUGGGAGAUAAUGCCCGUCGGCAAAUGGAACAUGACCACUGUGUCCAGCAUGAACAACGACCGCCGCCAUUGUCUGAACCCGGGACGGGAUGAUACGCAGCGGCGGCGGCUGGGGUGUGCACAACAAAGCGGCGUCCACCCCCCCCCCACACACACACACACACACAAAUGGAGCCCCUCAGCAUAUUAAGUCAGCCCGGAUCGGA